rnacentral:rRNA from 1 species
CCGAGACUCAGUGAAAUUGAACUCGCUGUGAAGAUGCAGUGUACCCGCGGCAAUACGGAAAGACCCCGUGAACCUUUACUAUAGCUUGACACUGAACAUUGAGCCUUGAUGUGUAGGAUAGGUGGGAGGCUUUGAAGCGUGGACGCCAGUCUGCGUGGAGCCAACCUUGAAAUACCACCCUUUAAUGGCUGGUGUUCUAACGUAGACCCGUAAUCCGGGUUGCGGACAGUGUCUGGUGGGUAGUUUGACUGGGGCGGUCUCCUCCCAAAGAGUAACGGAGGAGCACGAAGGUUGGCUAAUCCUGGUCGGACAUCAGGAGGUUAGUGCAAUGGCAUAAGCCAGCUUGACUGCGAGCGUGACGGCGCGAGCAGGUGCGAAAGCAGGUCAUAGUGAUCCGGUGGUUCUGAAUGGAAGGGCCAUCGCUCAACGGAUAAAAGGUACUCCGGGGAUAACAGGCUGAUACCGCCCAAGAGUUCAUAUCGACGGCGGUGUUUGGCACCUCGAUGUCGGCUCAUCACAUCCUGGGGCUGAAGUAGGUCCCAAGGGUAUGGCUGUUCGCCAUUUAAAGUGGUACGCGAGCUGGGUUUAGAACGUCGUGAGACAGUUCGGUCCCUAUCUGCCGUGGGCGCUGGAGAAUUGAGGGGGGCUGCUCCUAGUACGAGAGGACCGGAGUGGACGCAUCACUGGUGUUCGGGUUGUCAUGCCAAUGGCACUGCCCGGUAGCUAAAUGCGGAAAAGAUAAGUGCUGAAAGCAUCUAAGCACGAAACUUGCCC